UACGAAGGGGGCUAGCGUUGCUCGGAAUGACUGGGCGUAAAGCGUGCGUAGGUGGUUUUUUAAGUCCGUUGUGAAAGCCCUGGGCUCAACCUGGGAAUGGCAGUGGAUACUGGAAAGCUAGAGUGCGGUAGAGGGGAGUGGAAUUCCCGGUGUAGCAGUGAAAUGCGUAGAGAUCGGAAGGAACACCAGUGGCGAAAGCGGCUUCCUGGUCCGACACCGACGUUCAGGCACGAAAGCGUGGGGAGCAAACAGG
rnacentral:rRNA from 1 species